CUUAGCAUCAAACUGUAUCCCAAGAAUGGUGGAGUACUUGAAAGGAAAAGUACUUAGAGGUGUUUCUGCAGCAAAGUAUCAUACAAUAGUGUUAGGAGCUGAUGGAGAGGUGUUCACUUGGGGCCAUCGCCUUGUCACCCCACGGCGUGUCGUAGUAGCUCGAUGCCUUAAGAAGGGUGGAAAUA